rnacentral:rRNA from 1 species
CAGUAGCCGCGGUAAUACGUAGGUGGCAAGCGUUGUCCGGAAUUAUUGGGCGUAAAAGGCGCGCAGGCGGUUUCUUAAGUCUGAUGUGAAAGCCCCCGGCUCAACCGGGGAGGGUCAUUGGAAACUGGGAAACUUGAGUGCAGAAGAGGAGAGUGGAAUUCCACGUGUAGCGGUGAAAUGCGUAGAGAUGUGGAGGAACACCAGUGGCGAAGGCGACUCUCUGGUCUGUAACUGACGCUGAGGAGCGAAAGCGUGGGGAGCGAACAGGAUUAGAUACCCGAGUAUUCCCUGUCUCUUAUAC